GCCUCUGAUUCAACUCACCCCUGCCGCAGUCUUACAGGGAAAACACUUCCUCUAAAACUAUUUCACCAAAGUCAGAGAAAGAGAGGAGAUUCUUUUUACGGCACAGGUAUACCUUGGAGAUAUUCCAGAUUUAGUUCCAGACCACUACCAUUAACAUCCAUGAUGUCCCAUUGGCACAGAAUUCUGGUGGAACCAUGAUGCAGGAGAGUUCAGCUAGACCCAGAUCUUUUUGUUGCUGUUGUUGUUAUUAUACUGAAGAGCUACGUGAGACAGAAAGCUUGGCAGCCUUCCCACAAUCCUCAGCAUGUGGGAAUAGCAAGUAAUAAAGUGUUAGCCCCUGCCAACUGGUGGUUCCGUGUAAAUGUCUCUGUUAACAACCAACACUGCUGCUAGCAGCCAUCGGAGCAAAGCGGCAAAUCUGUUCCUCUCUCCGGUGUGG